AGAAUAAUCUCGGGAAACUGAGCAUAAUUCUUGAUAGAUCAUAAUGCCUGGAAUGGUUUAUGGUUAAAAUGAUUCGUCGCCAUAGGAUGGGACUGCGGCCUAUCAGCUUGUUGGUGAGGUAAUGGCCCACCAAGGCGAUUACAGGUACGGGCUCUGAGAGGAGAAGCCCGGAGAUGGGUACUGAGACACGGACCCAGGCCCUAUGGGGCGCAGCAGGCGAGAAAACUUUGCAAUGUGCGAAAGCACGACAAGGUUAAUCCGAGUGAUUUCUGCUAAAGAAAUCUUUUGCCAGUCAUAAAACCACUGGUGAAUAAGGGGUGGGCAAGUUCUGGUGUCAGCCGCCGCGGUAAAACCAGCACCUCAAGUGGUCAGGAUGAUUAUUGGGCCUAAAGCAUCCGUAGCCGGCUUUGUAAGUUUUCGGUUAAAUCCAUGUGCUCAACGCAUGGGCUGCCGAAAAUACUGCGUGGCUAGGGAGUGGGA
rnacentral:rRNA from 1 species